GGCAGCACGAUGUAGCAAUACAUUGGUGGCGACCGGCGCACGGGUGAGUAACGCGUAUGCAACCUACCUAUCAGAGGGGAAUAACCCGGCGAAAGUCGGACUAAUACCGCAUAAAACAGGGGUUCCACAUGGAAAUAUUUGUUAAAGAAUUAUCGCUGAUAGAUGGGCAUGCGUUCCAUUAGAUAGUUGGUGAGGUAACGGCUCACCAAGUCCACGAUGGAUAGGGGUUCUGAGAGGAAGGUCCCCCACACUGGUACUGAGACACGGACCAGACUCCUACGGGAGGCAGCAGUGAGGAAUAUUGGUCAAUGGGCGAGAGCCUGAACCAGCCAAGUCGCGUGAAGGAUGAAGGAUCUAUGGUUUGUAAACUUCUUUUAUAUGGGAAUAAAGUGAGGAACGUGUUCCUUUUUGUAUGUACCAUAUGAAUAAGCAUCGGCUAACUCCGUGCCAGCAACCGCGGUAAUACGGAGGAUGCGAGCGUUAUCCGGAUUUAUUGGGUUUAAAGGGUGCGUAGGUGGUUAAUUAAGUCAGCGGUGAAAGUUUGUGGCUCAACCAUAAAAUUGCCGUUGAAACUGGUUGACUUGAGUAUAUUUGAGGUAGGCGGAAUGCGUGGUGUAGCGGUGAAAUGCAUAGAUAUCACGCAGAACUCCGAUUGCGAAGGCAGCUUACUAAACUAUAACUGACACUGAAGCACGAAAGCGUGGGGAUCAAACAGGAUUAGAUACCCUGGUAGUCCACGCAGUAAACGAUGAUUACUAGCUGUUUGCGAUACACAGUAAGCGGCAC
rnacentral:rRNA from 1 species